rnacentral:lncRNA from 1 species
AACUUUUCAUAUCACUCGACUCCGCAGAGAAAGGAAAUAAUCAAUCAGCAAAAUCAAAGGAAAAUUUCAUAAAAAUUUAAUUGAUAAAGUCCUUUAUACAUAUUUAUGGAUUAGCUAGAAAUACAAUGUAAGUUGCCUUAAAAAUAUUGAUCAACAGUUAUUACAAACUGCAGCAAAAAAAACAAUAAAGGCUUCAACCUACAAGCUCAUCAUCAGACCAGCAUGAUGUAGUCAGUUCAAAAAAAGAAAUAAUUCACAUUACUUCACUUCUAUUUUGACAUCUUUUUAACAAACAAAACUAGAGGCUCUCAAGAGCCUGUGUCGCUCACCUGUUACUGUAUUUACUCAUGUCGGCCAUAUUGGUUGGUAGGCGGGUUCAUUAGUCACUUUUUUUAAAAUAGAUACCCUAGUAAUGAUUGUGGCCAAGUUUGGUUAAAUUUGGCCCAUAGUUUUAGAAAAGAAGAUUUUUGUACAAGUUACAAAAAUGACGAAAAGUUGUUCAAUAUUGACUAUAAAAGGCAAUAACUCCUUAAGGGGUCCUCUGACAAUUUUGGUCAUGUUGACUUAUUUGUAGAUCUUACUUUGCUGAACAUUAUUCCUGUUUACAGUUUAUCUCUAUCUAUAAUAACCAAAAACUGCAAAAUUUCCUUAAAAUUACCAAUUUUAGCGCAGCAACCCAACAACAGGUUGUCCGAUUCAUCUGAAAAUUUGUGAGCAGUGGCAGCCCAGGAUAGUAAAAUUGCUCUCGGGAAAAAUCUAGAUCUUAUUCUGAUGGACAUUUAAAUCUUAAAAUAUUUGCCCUCAAUGUCUUAGUUUUAAAAAUAUAAAGCAAAAACUGCAUUUUACCACUAUGUUCUAAUUUUGGCCAUGUCGGCCAUUUUGUUUGGUAGGCAGGGUCAUCGGACACAUUUUUCAAACUAUAUACCACAAUGAUGAUUGUAGCCAAGUUUAGUUAAAUUUGGCUCAGUAGUUUCAGAGAAGAUUUUUGUACAAAAAAAAAAUGACGAAAAGUUGUUAAAAAUUGACUAUAAAGGGCAAUAACUCCUUAAGGGGUUGACUGACAAUUUUGGUAAUGUUGACUUAUUUAUAGGUCUUACUUUGCUGAACAUUAUUGCUGUUUACAGUUAAUCAUAUCUAUAAUAGUAUUCAAAAUAAUAACCAAAAGCAGCAAAAUUUAUUUAAAAUUACCAAUUUAGGAGCAGCAACCCAACAACAGGUUGUCUGAUUUGUCUGAAAAUUUCAGGGCAGAUAGAUUUUGACCUGAUCAAUAAUUUUACCCCAAUCAGAUUUGCUCUAAAUGCUUUUAUUUAAAGAUAUAAGCCGAAAUAUACAUUUUACCCCUGUGUUCUAUUUUUAGCCAUGGGGGCCAUCUUGGUUGGAUGGCCAGGUCAUCGGACACAUUUUUUAAACUAAAUACCCCAAGGAUGAUUGUGGUCAAGUUUGGUUAAAUUUAGUAGUUUCAGAGAAGAUUUUUGUAAAAGUUUACGGACGACAGACGCCGGACGCCAAGUGAUGAGAAAAGCUCACUUGACCUUUCAGGUCAGGU